UAGUUCCAUUCCACUAUCCGGCGAAGGAGAUACCCAGAAGAGAUGGCGGCCAGAGGUAGUUUUCAAUCAGCUUCAACGGGAGGUGGUGGCGGGGGAAUGGGACCCGGACCCCCGGUACAAGGUGGAGGACCAGGCAUGGGACCUGGAACUCCUGGAGGAAGGAUGGGACCCUCAUCGGGCGCACAGAACCACCUCUAUCGUUCUCCGAUGCCCGGGCCUGGAUACCCGAGACCAGGUGGGAUGCCCCCAUCCAGCCGUAUGACCCCCCAGGGCCCGCCCAUGGGGCCUCCAGGCUACGGCUCCAGCCCUGUGUCCCGACCAGGGAUGCCCAGUGUCAUGGACCCCUCCCGUAAAAGGCCGGCCCCCCAGCAGAUCCAGCAGGUCCAACAGCAGCGCAACCAACACACCAAGAAGAAGAAGAUGGCGGAUAAGAUUUUACCUCAGAGGAUCCGGGAGCUGGUGCCAGAGUCUCAGGCCUACAUGGACCUGCUGGCGUUUGAGAGGAAGCUGGAUCAGACCAUCAUGAGGAAACGUCUGGACAUCCAGGAGGCACUCAAGAGACCCAUCAAGCAAAAGCGAAAGCUUCGUAUCUUCAUAUCCAACACGUUCAACCCUGCCAAGCCCGACGCAGAAGACGGGGAUGGCACUGUAGCAUCGUGGGAGUUGCGUGUCGAAGGACGCCUGCUUGAAGAUACUGCUGUGUCCAAGUAUGAAGCCACCAAGCAGAAGAGAAAGUUCUCUUCCUUCUUCAAGUCUCUGGUCAUCGAGUUGGACAAGGACCUCUAUGGGCCUGACAAUCACUUGGUCGAGUGGCACCGGACUGCGACCACUCAGGAGACAGAUGGGUUCCAGGUGAAGAGGCCAGGUGAUGUCGGGGUACGCUGCACUGUCCUGCUGAUGCUGGACUACCAGCCCCCUCAGUUCAAGUUGGACCCUCGCCUGGCCCGUAUGUUGGGGAUCCACACCCAGACCAGGCCGGUCAUCAUCCAGGCACUUUGGCAGUAUGUUAAGACCCACAAGCUGCAGGACCCCCACGAGAGAGAGUUCAUCAACUGUGACAAGUACCUGCAGCAGGUGAGAGAGUUCAUCAACUGUGACAAGUACCUGCAGCAGGUGAGAGAGUUCAUCAACUGUGACAAGUACCUGCAGCAGGUGAGAGAGUUCAUCAACUGUGACAAGUACCUGCAGCAGGUGAGAGAGUUCAUCAACUGUGACAAGUACCUGCAGCAGGUGAGAGAGUUCAUCAACUGUGACAAGUACCUGCAGCAGGUGAGAGAGUUCAUCAACUGUGACAAGUACCUGCAGCAGGUGAGAGAGUUCAUCAACUGUGACAAGUACCUGCAGCAGGUGAGAGAGUUCAUCAACUGUGACAAGUACCUGCAGCAGGUCAGUGAGCAGCAAAUGGCCCCGUGUGGCUUAGUUAGUAGGGGACGGCGCUUGUAACGGCAGGGUUGUGGGUUUGAUUCCCAUGCGGGACCAGUACAAAACCGUGUCCUAUGUUCACAGCUGGAAGAUACAAGGCUUUCUUAGGGAGAGUAUCUUUUCCCCACGUUUUGUAUCUGUAAUGUUAAGGCACAGUUAAAUAAUCUAAUGGACGUUAUGCAAUGUAAUUUGCCAUUUCAUAAUCUUUAUGGUUAAGGGUAAAUGGGCCAGGGAAUACUGUCCUUAGCCUAAACACACUCUAGACCUCCAACAAAUAGCAAUCCUUAUGAACUGUCCUUAGCCUAAACACACUCUAGACCUCCAACAAAUAGCAAUCCUUAUGAACUGUCCUUAGCCUAAACACACUCUUAGACCUCCAACAAAUAGCAAUCCUUAUGAACUGUCCUUAGCCUAAACACACUCUAGACCUCCAACAAAUAGCAAUCCUUAUGAACUGUCCAAGGCUGAAACAUACAACGCACAAUGCUGAAUCUUUGCAUGUCUGGUUCUUGAGUAAAUUAAUAAGGUUCUGUUUAUCUAUUUUGUUCUAGAUCUUUGAGGCCCAGCGUAUGAAGUUCUCCGAGAUCCCCCAGCGUCUCCAUGCUCUCCUGAUGCCUCCAGAACCCAUCAUUAUUAACCAUGUCAUCAGGUAGGCCUCUAACCCAUUAUUAACCAUGUCGUCAGGUAGGCCUCUAACCCAUCAUUAACCAUGUCGUCAGGUAGGCCUCUAACCCAUUAUUAACCAUGUCAUCAGGUAGGCCUGGUAGGCCUCUAACCCAUCAUUAACCAUGUUGUCAGGUAGGCCUCUACCCCAUCAUUAACCAUGGCGUCAGGUAGGCCUCUACCCCAUCAUUAACCAUGUCGUCAGGUAGGCCUGGUAGGCCUCUAACCCAUCAUUAACCAUGUCGUCAGGUAGGCCUCGUCAGUAGGGUCAACGCCUCGUUUUGUCCUCGUCACUAGGGUCCAGAGUGUUUGCGUGGUCCUGGGAAAAACUCUGGGCCCUUUUUCAUAACUCGAAGCUCAGAUCAGAUCAUAUCAAUGCCUAAGGAAUUGUUCAAGUGUCUCAGGAACCACAUUAAUAUGAUAUAGAACUCUUCUGAGAUGUGCAGCGUGACUGCAAGAAAUGACAGGCUGGAACGAACCCAAUAAAAUGGACUCUGCAUGAACUAAAUUCUGUCUCUACAGAUAGACGACUGCAUGAUCUAACUCUCUCUCUGUGUCUACAGUGUGGAUCCCAACGACCAGAAGAAGACGGCCUGCUAUGACAUCGAUGUGGAGGUGGACGACACUCUAAAGACCCAGAUGAACUCCUUCCUCCUUUCCACCGCCAGCCAGCAGGAGAUAGCUGGUCUGGACAACAAGAUCCAUGAGACCAUAGAGACGAUCAACCAGCUGAAGACCCAGAGAGAGUUCAUGUUGAGCUUCGCCAGAGACCCCCAGGGCUUCAUCAACGACUGGCUGCAAUCACAGUGCCGGGACCUCAAGACUAUGACUGAUGUUGUUGCGAACCCAGAAGAAGAGAGGAGAGCCGAGUUCUAUUUCCAACCCUGGGCCCAGGAGGCCGUGUGUCGCUACUUCUACUCCAAGGUCCAACAGAGGCGUCAGGAGCUGGAACAGGCCCUGGGAAUCAGAAACACCUAGACGACAAGAUUAUGUCAAAGAAGAGCAGGUCAACAGAGUAAAAGAAGUGGCUGUUCUCUCUGGGAGGACGAAAAGAGAAGUUUGGGACAUUCAUAUUUAUAAAUACACCGCUGAUUUUUGCAAAACGCUUAGAUAAAACAUCUUAGAUAUAGACUGCUUUACUCUUGAUGGUAACUGUAGGAUAUAUUUUAACAUCAACUAGCAGCUGUUAUGGUUAUGUAUAAAUGUUUGAUUGCUACUUACUUUUUUAUAUUUGUCCCAUUGUCCCACUAAAAUAUAUUUUGACUUAUUUUCUUUCAAUGGUCUAUCUCUGUUUAACCCCCAAAGCAUUUAUUUUCUGUGCUGAACUCUCUCACAGAUCUUGAAUCUAUAUAUUCAGGCCUAAGUGAGGUUGAAAUUACCCCCAACUAAGUAUUGAUGCUACUUCACAAUAACUAAUAUUGGUUAUUUUAAGUGUAAGGGGCUUAAAUUAAAGUUGUAACAUUUGGCUAAGGUGAAAGAGCAUUGGGUUAAUUUUAAAUGCUUGGGACUAUCUAUCUACCCCGCUCUGAGUCCAAACUAACUCAUAACUGAUCAGGUGAUAGCCUACACACACUACCUACGCACACUACCAUUCUGCCUUUGGUCUGGAAUUGAUAUUCAGUGUUUGUUUGGUAUUGAUAGGGUUGUGUGAGUAUUCCGUGGCCUUUUAUUGCCUCGCUGGCUGUUCGUUUCUUACCGAGAUUAUUUUAAAUGCUUCUAGAAUGUUGUGUACCUCCAAAAAUUCUACUUUUAGAAUCUUGUGUGCUUCAAAAAUUCUACUGUUAGAAUCUUGUGUGCUUCAAAAAUUCUACUUUUAGAAUCUUGUGUGCUUCAAAAAUUCUACUUUUAGAAUCUUGUGUGCUUCAAAAUUCCCCCUAUGAACACUUCAAAGCAAUGGUAAUGACAUGCAAGGCUGUACAAUGUUGUGAAACUUCACUAUAUUGGUUAGUUACUCAUUUAAGUGGCCUUUUCAUUUUAAACUAUUUUGGUGGAGCUUUGUUUGUAUAAAAAAAUAAAAAGUUUAGAAAGUAUGAAGUCUUGUUUAGUUAGAAGUAAAGAAUAUUAAGGAAGUAGUGUUUAGUAGUAAUUACCUCAAGUUGAUCUAGUUUUUGUAAAUAAUGAACAGAAUAAUCUGAUGUGAAGGGGAAAAUGUCUGUUUUUAAAGGACAUACCAUCAAUUUGACUCAUUGUCUUAAUGCUCCGUUUGCCCAAGACGUUCCCCCUCAAGUGACCCCAAUGGUUUAAUCCAGAACAUUCUCUAUAACCUAGCAGCAAGUUGCAGUUGUUUGUUGGUCCUGUGUGGAAGAGGGAGAACAACGUUUUAGGCUUCUACUGUUCUCUGUUCAGAUCAAUUGCUCUGGGUGUUCCUUCUUUAUUUGUUAGUGUGCAGAAGCUAUCAACACCUUAGGAAGAGAAGCGUAGAGCUGGGUUCACUUUCUUUAGCUGUGACAUUCACGAAUUUCAAGCUUUUUUUGCUAGCAUGGUAGACUGCUUUAGGCUUGUAGGUAUUUCUGUUUAGAUAUGACAUGUAGAGGAUGUAAGAAGCUUUAUCGUUGUGCUCAAUUCAGUAUCUGUUCAGUAAGUUCAUUUAAAUACAUAUAUUUUCAAUAGGUAUUUUUAUUUGGUUUUUCCAAUAUUGAGUGUAAUUUCAAUCAAUGUUCUGAUUUCAUGCUGAAUUGACCCCGAACCUGUAAAAGGAUGAUACUGUUGACAGAUCUUUAAAUCUUCAGACAUGAAUUGUAUUUUUUAUUUCAUGGACCAAACCUAUUUUCUUCCUGUAUGUUUUGAACCUUGUGCUAUAAUAAAGGAUAUCGUCAAUGAUAA